UACGGGAGGCAGCAGUGGGGAAUAUUGCACAAUGGGCGCAAGCCUGAUGCAGCCAUGCCGCGUGUAUGAAGAAGGCCUUCGGGUUGUAAAGUACUUUCAGUCGUGAGGAAGGUGUUAAGGUUAAUAACCUUAGCAAUUGACGUUAGCGACAGAAGAAGCACCGGCUAACUCCGUGCCAGCAGCCGCGGUAAUACGGAGGGUGCGAGCGUUAAUCGGAAUUACUGGGCGUUAAAGGGCACGCAGGCGGUUAAUUAAGUUGGAUGUGAAAAUCCCCGGGCUUAACCUGGGAAUGGCAUUCAAGACUGGUUAGCUAGAGUCUUGUAGAGGGGGUAGAAUUCCAUGUGUAGCGGUGAAAUGCGUAGAGAUGUGGAGGAAUACCGGUGGCGAAAGGCGGCCCCCUGGACAAAGACUGACGCUCAUGUGCGAAAGCGUGGGGAGCAAACAGGGAUUAGAUACC
rnacentral:rRNA from 1 species